rnacentral:rRNA from 1 species
CGGAAGUACCCCAAUCGUAACAAGGUCUCCGUUGGUGAACCAGCGGAGGGAUCAUUACCGAGUUUACAACUCCCAAACCCCUGUGAACAUACCACUUGUUGCCUCGGCGGAUCAGCCCGCUCCCGGUAAAACGGGACGGCCCGCCAGAGGACCCCUAAACUCUGUUUCUAUAUGUAACUUCUGAGUAAAACCAUAAAUAAAUCAAAACUUUCAACAACGGAUCUCUUGGUUCUGGCAUCGAUGAAGAACGCAGCAAAAUGCGAUAAGUAAUGUGAAUUGCAGAAUUCAGUGAAUCAUCGAAUCUUUGAACGCACAUUGCGCCCGCCAGUAUUCUGGCGGGCAUGCCUGUUCGAGCGUCAUUUCAACCCUCAAGCACAGCUUGGUGUUGGGACUCGCGUUAAUUCGCGUUCCCCAAAUUGAUUGGCGGUCACGUCGAGCUUCCAUAGCGUAGUAGUAAAACCCUCGUUACUGGUAAUCGUCGCGGCCACGCCGUUAAACCCCAACUUCUGAAUGUUGACCUCGGAUCAGGUAGGAACCCCCGAAAUU